ACAUCACGUGACCCUUCACCUUGCGAAGGCCCUAGGAGCAGUGGUGCUGUCAAUUGAAUAUCGACUUGCCCCAGAAUAUGUAUUUCCGGCCGGUUUGAAUGACUGUGUGACGGCAACCAAACAUUUCAUUCAGAAUACCGAGAGGUUCUCCGUCGAUCCAGCACGAAUCGGGGUUAUGGGAGACGGUUCAGGAGGAAAUCUUGCCACG